GGAAUCUUCCACAAUGGGCGAAAGCCUGAUGGAGCAACGCCGCGUGUGUGAUGAAGGGUUUCGGCUCGUAAAACACUGUUGUAAGAGAAGAAUGACAUUGAGAGUAACUGUUCAAUGUGUGACGGUAACUACCCAGAAAGGGACGGCUAACUACGUGCCGG
rnacentral:rRNA from 1 species